CACUAUUGUCGAAAAUUUGAUAAAAAAAUUAUUUACUAAAUAAAUUAUUCCCAAUCCUUGUAGUCGAAUAUACCCUCUCAUGUUCAACUAGAAUUAGAAAAUUUCAAAUAAAACCAAAACUUAAAAACAUUCAACCACUUUGAAACAUCCAAAACAAAUAGCGGAAUCAAAUAGUUUAAGUAUUUCAAGGCAAGUCUAAACAUCACAAUCCAAAACAAACACCAAUUCUAAUUGUUUAAGUCUAAAUGUCACAAUCAUAAACAAGAACCAACCACUACAAUCUAAUCAUCUGAUCACUAUUCUCCCCAUCCUUAAAUACUUGUGGCUUAUGCAUCGUGACUAACACCUCAAACUUAGCAAACUUGGCAUCACUAACUGCAUAGUAUUGCAUCAACUCUUUAAUUUUUGUUCUCAUCGCUUCUAUUUCUUCCGCAGUUUGGGAAAUAAAAGUAGAGUUGCACAACAUUGGGGAAGAACUACUCGAGGAAUGGUUAACUCCAAGCCCGUAGGUUUUACCCUCCUUUGGACCACCUACCACAGUUGUCCAUAUUCUAGUCAUAUUAGCAGGCGAUGGUUGGACCAUGGUAUCAUCCUCUGAAGCAGAUUGAGUUUGAUGCCAAUCUUCAAUGCUUUUUUGAAACCCCUCCUAAAAGAAAAAUAAUUGUCA
rnacentral:lncRNA from 1 species